rnacentral:rRNA from 1 species
GACGAACGCUGGCGGCGCGCUUAACACAUGCAAGUCGAACGGAAAGGCCUGCUUUCCCUUGUGGAUUGCGGGUACUCGAGUGGCGAACGGGUGAGUAACACGUGAGUGAUCUGCCCCCAACUUGGGUAUAAGCCUGGGAAACUGGGUCUAAUUCCCGAUAGGACUGCAGGGUGGGCCUGUGGUGGAAAACGAUUUUCUAGUGGUUGGGGAUGAGCUCGCGGCCUAUCAGCUUGUUGGUGGGGUAAUGGCCUACCAAGGCGGCGACGGGUAGCCGGCCUGAGAGGGUGGACGGCCACAUUGGGACUGAGAUACGGCCCAGACUCCUACGGGAGGCAGCAGUGGGGAAUAUUGCACAAUGGGCGGAAGCCUGAUGCAGCGACGCCGCGUGGGGGAUGACGGCCUUCGGGUUGUAAACUCCUUUCGACCGCGAGGAAGCCACCUGGUUGGAAGGGUGGUGACGGUAGUGGUAGAAGAAGCACCGGCUAACUACGU